GGGGGUAUAGCUCAGUGGUAGAGCAUUUGACAGCAGAUCAAGAGGUCCCCUGUACAAAUCUGAGUGCCCCCU
rfam:Danio rerio chromosome 20, GRCz11 reference primary assembly.